rnacentral:snoRNA from 1 species
GUGCCCUGGCAGGUUGCUGCAGGGCCUGCACAGGCUCACACAGAAGGGCAAAGCAAGUCUCCAGAAAACCCAGGGACCGGGUUGCAAGAACUCUUCUUUGGAUCCUGUCUGGAGGCACAGCU